CGAAGAGCUCGAAGGAUGGCCAUUUGAUUUGAAUCGAUCAUUCAGAUCAUCAAGCUCUUUAAUGUUAUCAAAGCCAGCCACCUCAUUUGAAGCAAUAGCUUUGAUAAGUGAUGGAAGUACUUCAGGGGAAUCUUCCGUUGACAUGUGGUUUUGUUUGCUAUUUUCCUUGACAAGCUAAUAGCACCUGUAAAUGUAUAUAUUUCUGUUAAGAAGAAUUCAGACAAUAAUACAACAGAAUGUAUAAAUAGUUUUACAUCUCAAAGUAAGAAAACAUGAAUUCGUUCUUGGUAUGCCAUUGUGUCUCUUGAAAGAGGUUUCAGAACCCGUGUGAUUAGCCCAUCAUGUCUUGUACACAAAUUAUCAUUAUUCAGCUUCCAAAAUUUUAUCAUUAAUGCCUUCGUGUAUGAUGCCAAAUAUGAGGUAACACACAGCACCAAAAGAAAUAAAAAAAUAAAUUUGAGAUUUUUGACCAAAUAAAUCCAGCAAAGAAAAAAAGACGGAAAACAGAAACAAGAUAAGGGGAGUACCAUGUCAAUUGACAAAUAUAUGAUUUCCAUUAGUCAGAAAUAACAAAAUAGAACAUGAGAGCUUGACAAUCACAUCAGAACUCAGUUAUUCACUCAAGGAUACAGAACAAAUGAAAUGUAAAAAAAAAUACUUCAGUCAUAUAAAUUCAUACGCUAGUGUCAGUACUCAGCAAAUUGCAAUCCGGUUUUUGAGUAUAUGUUAUUAUUUUUUCUACUUAGUAUUGUUUUCCAUGGUGAAAUUCCAGUGUUACUACUAAGGGCCUGUUUGAUACCUCCAUUUUCCAUCCAAUUUGUUUGAUGACCAAAAUUUUCCAUGGAAUUACUUUUCCACUUCUCCCUCACCUGAUGCCAUUUUCUUGGUUUUUAAGGAAUUCCAAUUCCUUUGGUUUUGGUGAGAAUUGGGAACUUUUUUUAUUUUUUAUUAUCUACUUAGUAUUGUUUUCCAUGGUGAAAUUCCAGUGUUACUACUAAGGGCCUGUUUGAUACCUCCAUUUUCCAUCCAAUUUGUGUUGUUUGAUGACCAAAAUUUUCCAUGGAAUUACUUUUCCACUUCUCCCUCACCUGAUGCCAUUUUCUUGGUUUUUAAGGAAUUCCAAUUCCUUUGGUUUUGGUGAGAAUUGGGAACUUUUUUUAUUUUUUAUUAUUUUUUAUUUUUUGCAAUGGAAACAACUUCUAUCCACAAUCGUAAAAAAAUAUAUCCAUUUAAUUGACAAUUUUCAUGAAAAAAAGCCAAACCAACACGAAAAGAUCCAAAAUUUCAACAUUUUCCAGGUGAAAAUUCCAAACACAUUUAAUUGACAAUUCUCAGUAAAACAAAUUAUAAACAAUUCAAUUCCUUGGAAUUCACUUUCUUUCCACCCGAAUUCCAUUCUUACAAUCAAACGGAUCUAAAUAAAUUAGAACUGACUUCCAAUAAUUAAAAUACUCGUGAAAUUUCCAUCUUGAAAUUAGAAAAAUUCAGCCUAAGGUACUAAUCGGUCUCAAGCUCAAGUAGAGUAAGAGGGUUUCAACAUGUUAACAACUAGUGUAAAAUGUCAUCAUAUCUUAUGACAAACUAGAACGAUUCAUAACAUGAUCCAAAGCCAUAAUAUCUUGCCACAACGCGAAAUCCUCAGUUCUUACCUCAAGCUUCUCUCCUUACUGAUUGCAGAAAAUGGGAAGCUAAUCAGACCUUUAAUAGCAAAACAGUCCACCAAACUAGCAAACCUUGCAGUUAGGUCAAUCCAAGGCUUAAAUUCGUGCCGAGCUCGAUAAAAAGCGCAAUUAUCUAUUGAAUGAAAACUGGGAUGGGAGUUUAUGUUUGGAAACACCUCCCUGUUUUAUAGAAUGAAAGAAAGAAAUUUAUUUUGCAGCCACAAGAAGCAAAUUGUACAUAUAUAUACUGAGAAAGGAAUGUUCUUGGAAUCACUACGUAAGUCCACCAAAU
rnacentral:lncRNA from 1 species